AACCACAAACUCUCAGGGUUGAACUCCAGAUUCUCUCAAUAGCUCCCACAAUGUUCUCUGCUCUAAGGAAAGAAACGAAUGGACCCAUCUAGUUUAAGAGUUCAAGAUUUCAGCUUGAGAGAGGGAGCCAGGAGGAGAUGACUGCAUCAUAGGGGCAGGUUUUUCCCAUGCGGUUCUCAUGAUUGUGAAUGGGUCUCACGAGAUCUGAUGGUUUUAAAAACGGGAGUCUCCCUGCACAAGCUCUCUCUUUGUCUGCCACCAUCCACGCAGGAUGUGACUUUCUCCUCCUUGCCUUCUGCCAUGAUUGUGAGGCCUCUCUAGUCAUGUGGAACUAAAUUCAAUUUGGACCUGGACCAGCGAGCCAGCAAGAUGUCUUGUCUCUCCUUCAGCCAGUGUCAACUUUGUCACCUGAAAGAGCUCAACUUGAGCUGGAAUAGCCACUUUGAAUAUGGGUAUGACACAUGAAUGGAAAGUUGGUGUUGGCUAUCAGCCAGGAGCUUAGA
ensembl:lncRNA novel transcript